GUAGUGUAUGUGAAAUAUACAGUUGCUCCCGUCCUUGGCUCUCUAUCCUCUCGUUUCCAUUCCUCCCAGGAAGAUGAAUAGUUAAUAUAAAAGAAAAAGGUGCAAAAAGCUGUGCUCCUCUCCAUUCUCUUCUCAGAUCGAUCCAAACCCAUAUCCUAUCCCUUUCUUUCUCUAUAAAAAAGAAGAAGAAAAAGCGGAAAAAAUGCAACAAGGAGGAGAUUUCAGCGCCUCCUAUUCUUACCCUCACCACCAAAACCCUAACCCUAACCCUAACCCUAACCUUAACGAUCUCAUCCCUCCAACCUUCGCCUCCGCCCCCCCUUUCUCCCAUUACCCUUCGUCCUCUGAUCCCUAUUCCUCCCCAUACCCUUCCUUUUCUCAAAAUCCCGAUCCUGUUCCUAAUCUCCCACCAACAGCUCCUUCCUACUCCCAACAACCCCCUCUCAACUCCCAACCAACCUACCCUCCUUUCCCUCCCGCCACCGCCACGUCAGACUACCCUCCACAUCUCCAGCAAACCCCUCCUCCCACUGCCACAUCGGACUAUCCUCCACAUCUCCAGCAACCCCCUCCCGCCCCAUAUUACCUGUAUGAUCACCAUCCAACGGCUGUGAAUUAUCCCCCGGCCAAUUCGUCAUUCUCUGUUCCCUACAGCCCUCCGUCCUACCCCCCGCCACCUGUCUACGAGAACCAUCCCUACGAUACUAGUGCUUCGCUCAAAUUUGACCGAUCUGGAAGCAGCUACCUUGAAGAGAAUUCUGCUAGCUAUGGCUACGGCCGGACCAACUCCUUUCCGACUGGGCCGCACAAUGAUGGUUUGGAUGAGGGGGUUUAUGCUUAUGAUGGGGGCCGGGCCGAGCCUUACGGUGCACGGGGCACGGGUGCACCCAGGUCUUCUUCUUCGUCGUGGUCGGCAUUUGAUGAUUAUGGGCGGUCGACAAGCCUUGGAAAGGAGCAGCAGGUGGGGUCUGGGAAGAUCGUGAGGGCGGUGCCGAAAGCAGAGACGCAGCAAGACGUGAAGAAUGGGGUGCAGAAGUUCCGGGUCAAGCUGUUGCCGGAAAGCUCGGGGCAGAGCACCAUGGACGUUCUUUGCCAGAUUGGACUGGACGGAAUUCGUAUGCUUGACCCAAGUACUAGUAGAACAUUGAGAAUAUACCCACUUGAGACUGUGACAAGAUGGGAAGUAAAUGAUUCGUCCAUCUAUACUUUUUGGGCUAAAAGCUCUGUUGACUUCGAGCCAAGGCGCAUAAGGUUGCAAUCAAACAGCUAUACUACCAACACCAUUCUUGAUGCUGUUACUGCUGCGACUGUCCAGCUUAAGGAGAUGGGUGGCAGUAGAAGCAGGGUAACUCCUGAUGCUAGCAAACAAUCUGAACAGCCAACAGAAAAGAAGAAAGGUUUAGCUGAUUGGAUGAACUUGAUAAAGCCUGGUAACGAGGAGAAAGAUCACUGGGUUCCAGAUGAAGCAGUUUCCAAAUGUACAGCAUGUGGAACAGAUUUUGGAGCUUUUGUGCGUAAGCAUCACUGCAGGAAUUGCGGGGAUAUUUUCUGUGACAAGUGUACCCAUGGUAGAAUUGCUCUCACUGCAGAUGAGCAAGCUCAGUCCGUCCGAGUUUGUGACCGAUGUUUGGCAGAAGUUUCGCAAAGGUUGAGUAAUGCGAAGGAAACAAGCAAUAAAUCUGCCGCACAACACAGUCAUGAGGAUCUUGCAAGGAAGCUUCAGGAGGAGAUGGACAGAAAUCGCAAGGUGUCUUCAGGUUCGAAGUCAGAUGGGUCUGGGAGGCGGAUGAAAGAAGUUGCCUGCCCCAUUUGCACAGUCCAUUUGCAGGUUCAAGUCCCAACUUCUGGCUCCGAAACGAUAGAGUGUGGUGUAUGUCAGCAUCCCUUCCUCGUUAGCGCCCACUGAAUUACUGCUAGAAGAUCUAAAUAUUGUAGCCCACCUGAUGUAAAGCUUAGAUCUUAGGUCUUGAAAACAGGCUAUUUCAAUUCUUAGGUGGGCCACAAGGCCAGAAGAUCUAAAUACUGAUGCAAAGUUUCUCGCGCACGUGUCUGCUUGUGGAUGUAUACAUAACCCACGGGAGUAGCAUUAUUCACUCUGUUCACCGGUGCAUGGACAGCUACUUGGGGUCCACCAGGUAUGAGUUUAUUCACGCUGUCCACCUACAUGUGGACCGGGCCAUGGGUCAACUAGAUGUUUAUGUUUUAUCCUCGCUGUCCAACUGGUGGAUUGGGCAGUGGGCCCACCUGGUGUAUGUGUUGUCCAACAGCAUAGAUCCCCACACUGGGGGGCCCACCUGAUGCAUGGUUCUACCCUCACUGCCAUUCCGUGGACGCAUCCAUGAUGUGUAUAUGUUAUACACGCUGCCACCGGGAGGCUAGGGCCCCACUGUGAUGUAUGUGUCUUAUAAGCACAGUUCAUUUUUUU